GCACCAGUGGCGGAAUUGGCAGACGCGCACGCUUGAGGGGCGUGUGGGAGACCGUAUGGGUUCGAGUCCCAUCUGGUGCACCA
rnacentral:tRNA from 2 species